AUGUCAGUUUCAGAUACGAACCUUCAAAAUGGAGAAAAGCCCAUCUCCGAAAUUACCGAUGCGGAACUCGGCGAAAAGCAUGGUCAUAUGAAGUUAGUAUGCUCACAGACAAGGUUCGGAAAAACCAUGAAACUGUUGUCACCAGACCACAAAAAGUACAUCAUAUCAGAAACCAGUCUUGGCGGUCUAACCCAGAUGCAUGAAGUGACUCUACGGCGCAUAAUGUUGGUUAGACUAGCCAAGAGCAUAGAUAUGGACACCCAAUCCAUUACCAUCGGAAAAACGCCAAUUCCUAUAACAAAAGAGGACGUGCAGUGUAUAUUCGGCAUUCCGAUAGAAGGGGAGGAUAUAGAGCCACAUCUGGAAAUGCAAACUGACACAGAAUUGUUUACCGCCUAUGCAAACAAUGGGCAAAUUUUGAUUUCUGACCUCUAA
rnacentral:rRNA from 1 species